CCUACGGGAGGCAGCAGUGAGGAAUAUUGGUCAAUGGACGAGAGUCUGAACCAGCCAAGUAGCGUGAAGGAUGACUGCCCUAUGGGUUGUAAACUUCUUUUAUAUGGGAAUAAAAUGUUCCACGUGUGGGUUUUUGUAUGUACCAUAUGAAUAAGGAUCGGCUAACUCCGUGCCAGCAGCCGCGGUAAUACGGAGGAUCCGAGCGUUAUCCGGAUUUAUUGGGUUUAAAGGGAGCGUAGGUGGAUUGUUAAGUCAGUUGUGAAAGUUUGCGGCUCAACCGUAAAAUUGCAGUUGAAACUGGCAGUCUUGAGUACAGUAGAGGUGGGCGGAAUUCGUGGUGUAGCGGUGAAAUGCUUAGAUAUCACGAAGAACUCCGAUUGCGAAGGCAGCUCACUGGACUGCAACUGACACGGAGGCUCGAAAGUGUGGGUAUCAAACAGGAUUAGAUACCCCAGUAGUC
rnacentral:rRNA from 1 species